GCUAGCCCAAAUAACAAACAACUAAACUACAAAGCAAACAUCAAACAAAACAUUUAGUCAUACAUUAAAGUAUAGGAGAUAGAAAUUUUUAACCAGGAGCUAUAGAGACAGUACCAGCAAGGGAAAGAUGAAAGAGAAUUCAAAGUAAAAAAUAGCAAAGAUUACCCCUUCUACCUUUUGCAUAAUGAAUUAGCUAGAACAACUUAACAAAGAGAACUUAAGCUAAGCCCCCCGAAACCAGACGAGCUACCUGCGAACAAUCCCCUGGGAUGAACUCAUCUAUGUGGCAAAAUAGUGAGAAGAUUCGCAGGUAGAGGUGAAAAGCCUAACGAGCCUGGUGAUAGCUGGUUACCCAGAAUAGAAUUUCAGUUCAACUUUAAACUUACCUAAAACCCAAGAAUUUUAAUGUAAGCUUAAAAUAUAGUCUAAAAAGGUACAGCUUUUUAGAUCAAGGAUACAACCUUACUUAGAGAGUAAACACAAAUUAGACCAUAGUAGGCCUAAAAGCAGCCAUCAAUUAAGAAAGCGUUAAAGCUCAACAAUUCAAUCAACAUAAUACCAAAAGAACUCAAACAACUCCUAACGUACAUCUGGGUCAAUCUAUUCAAUUAUAGUUGAGACAAUGCUAAUAUGAGUAACAAGAAACCUUUUCUCCUUGCAUAAACUUAUAACCGAAAUGGAUAUCCACUGAUAGUUAACAACAAGAUAAAACUAACCAACCAAUUAAUUAUACCUAUCAAACUAAUUGUUAAGCCAACACAGGAAUGCAACCAAGGAAAGAUUAAAAGAAGUAAAAGGAACUCGGCAAACACAAACCCCGCCUGUUUACCAAAAACAUCACCUCCAGCAUUACUAGUAUUGGAGGCACUGCCUGCCCAGUGACAUAAGUUAAACAACCGCGGUAUCCUGACCGUGCAAAGGUAGCAUAAUCAUUUGUUCUAUAAAUAAGGACUUGUAUGAACGGCCACACGAGGGUUUAACUGUCUCUUACUUCCAAUCAGUGAAAUUGACCUUCCCGUGAAGAGGCGGGAAUAGAAUAAUAAGACGAGAAGACCCUAUGGAGCUUUAAUUAACUAACUCAACAGAACAAAUCCAGUCAACCAACAGGGAAUAAAAAUUUCUAUAAUGAGUUAGCAAUUUAGGUUGGGGUGACCUCGGAGAACAAAACAACCUCCGAGUGAUAUAAACUAAGACAAACCAGUCAAAGUGCCGCAUCAUUAAUUGAUCCAAAAAUUUUUUUGAUCAACGGAACAAGUUACCCUAGGGAUAACAGCGCAAUCCUAUUCGAGAGUCCAUAUCGACAAUAGGGUUUACGACCUCGAUGUUGGAUCAGGACAUCCUAAUGGUGCAGCAGCUAUUAAGGGUUCGUUUGUUCAACGAUUAAAGUCCUACGUGAUCUGAGUUCAGACCGGAGUAAUCCAGGUCGGUUUCUAUCUAUUAACCAGUUCCUCCCAGUACGAAAGGACAAGAGAAACAAGGCCCACCUCAACACAGGCGCCUUAAGACUAAUAGAUGAUAUAAUCUUAAUCUAGCCAGUCUAAUCCCCCAUGAAUCCAAGAAACAGGACCU
rnacentral:rRNA from 1 species